GAAUUUAACCACUUCAUUCCGCCCGGGAAUUACGGACACCAGUCUAAAAACCAAAGGACUUGGCGGUGCUUUAAAACCCCCUAGAGGAGCCUGUCCUAUAACCGAUGACCCCCGUUCAACCUCACCCUCCCUCGCUCGAUCCACCUAUAUACCGCCGCCGUCAGCUUACCCUGAGAAGGGACAGAAGUAUGCAAAAUUGGCACAGCCCCAAACGUCAGGUCGAGGUGUAGUGCAUGAGAGGGGAAGAGAUGGGCUACAUUUGCUAAACACAAGCAAACACGGAUGUAUUAUUGAAACCCGAUACUGAAGGAGGAUUUAGUAGUAAGUGAGGAGCAGCGUGCCCCACUGAAACCGGCCCUAAAGCGCGCACACACCG
rnacentral:rRNA from 1 species